CUCUUCCUUUUCGCAACAGAAAUGCAGGUCCCUCAUACGGAAACCGUAAUGCCCCACAGUGUUGGCAGUCCGGUACCUUUCUUAGGACAUGAUGCUUUUCAGGGUGUUAAAGGUUGAUGUUAGGCAUGGCAAUCCAGAAUGUUGUUGUAGCUAGAUCCGUACCAGGGGAUGGAGAUUGAGGACAUGGGUGAGGUUGAAGACAUCCAUCAGAAGGUACUUGAGAAUCCAAUCCAAUUUGUCGCCAGUGGGGAGAUGAAGGAGGAGCGAUGCAGGCUUGCGAGGUCACCUUGGAGUCGACGUUGCUGUGCAAGUAUUCAAGGUCGCCGAGGAGGGAGAAGACGGGCUGUGCAAGAUUGCGAGGUUGCCGUGCAGGGAGACGUUGGGCUGCUGGUCAGCGUAUGGCGCGGUGGCCGAGCAAGG